CAGCAGCCGCGGUAAUACGUAGGGUGCAAGCGUUAAUCGGAAUUACUGGGCGUAAAGCGUGCGCAGGCGGUUCGGAAAGAAAGAUGUGAAAUCCCAGAGCUUAACUUUGGAACUGCAUUUUUAACUACCGGGCUAGAGUGUGUCAGAGGGGGGUGGAAUUCCACGUGUAGCAGUGAAAUGCGUAGAUAUGUGGAGGAACACCGAUGGCGAAGGCAGCCCCCUGGGAUAACACUGACGCUCAUGCACGAAAGCGUGGGGAGCAAACAGGAUUAGAUACCCGUGUAGUCCCUGUCUCUUAUAC
rnacentral:rRNA from 1 species